UACGUAGGGAGCAAGCGUUGUUCGGAUUUACUGGGCGUAAAGGGCGCGUAGGCGGCAUAUUAAGUCAUCUGUGAAAUCUCCGAGCUUAACUCGGAACUGUCAGCUGAUACUGAUGUGCUAGAGUGCGGAAGGGGCAAUCGGAAUUCUUGGUGUAGCGGUGAAAUGCGUAGAUAUCAUUUGGAACGCCAAUGGUGAAAACAACUCGCUGGGGAAGUGCUGACGCCUGGAGACACGAAAGCCAGGGAGCGAACGGG
rnacentral:rRNA from 1 species